CCUACGGGUGGCAGCAGUGGGGAAUAUUGGGCAAUGGGCGCAAGCCUGACCCAGCAACGCCGCGUGAAGGAAGAAGGCUUUCGGGUUGUAAACUUCUUUUCGCAGGGACGAAGCAAGUGACGGUACCGGAGGAAUAAGCCACGGCUAACUACGUGCCAGCAGCCGCGGUAAUACGUAGGUGGCAAGCGUUAUCCGGAUUUACUGGGUGUAAAGGGCGUGUAGGCGGGACGGGAAGUCAGAGGUGAAAACCACGGGCUCAACCUGUGGCCUUCAUUUGAAACGGUAGUUCUUGAGUACUGGAGAGGCAGCCGGAAUUCCUCGUGUAGCGGUGAAAUGCGUCGAUAUUAGGCGGAACACCAGUGGCGCAGGCGGUCUGCUGGACAGCACCUGACGCUGAGGCGCGCAAGCGUGGGGAGCAAACAGGAUUAGAUACCCGAGUAGUC
rnacentral:rRNA from 1 species